rnacentral:tRNA from 1 species
CGCUCGCGGUGGGCGGCGGCCAGCGCCUGGAUGCCGUCGGCGACGGCGGUGACCCGGUACCCCUCCAGGGUCAGGGCGCGUUCCAGCGCGGUGCGGAUGG